UGAAGUUAUUUGGAUUUUUACGAAUUAUCUUUGAAAGACAGGGUCCUGAAUAAGCGAGGUUUCUCUUCUUUUUUUUUGCUGAGUUUAGUUUAUACAAUAAUGAAAUACAUGGCAAAAGUCAAGAAAAGUCAUUGCAACUUGUCCACACUGCAAACAUAUUUCAAAACAUAUUUACGAAGAAGUCAUGCACAUUGCUUUGAAACAGUGUCCAAGGAAACAUUUUUGGCAUGUGAGUGCAUUGAUGUGAGAAAUGGUGUGUUUGCAGUCAAAUACAUUUUCUGGUCCAGCAAAACCCAUACAUGUUCCAACUUUGUUCAAAACUGUUAUGAAUGCUGGAGUAUUAAAACACUGUUGAAUUGUACUUUUUCUUUACUUUCACAUACUGUGUGUACAUAAGCAUUGCUCGGAUCUUGUCCCCUGGACCUUGGGGGACUUUUGUGGAUGAUGUUCAGGGCCUACCAAAGUAAGGUUUCUCAAGCAACUGUGAGAUGUUUGUUUUGAUGAUGAUACUGAAAACAAAAUGCACGACGAGCUGUGUCCUGGGAAGCAGAUGUUCUUCUAAGGGACACCCUAGAGGCAGCAAGGUGAUGUGAACUCCAAACAUUUAAAGGCACUGUUCCCCUCCCUAGUGUAAUUGGGAUGGAAGGGGAAGACCGCAUUACAACCCUUAAAGAACUACAGUUGUAUGAUGGCCUGGAUGAAGAGAAAAAUGUUCUCCUCAAGGAACCAUUCAUGUUACAGAGAGAUUAUAAUUUGUUCUAUUUGGAGGCAGUUGACAACAAGAAAAUUACUGUCUUUGUCUUUUGAGGAGCAAAGCCAUUUUUGAGGAGUGGUCAAACUUUGUCUGCUGUGUUAAUUGUUUCAAUUGUUAAUUGUGUUAUGUUUAGUAAAGAUGACGUAGAAGUCACCCGAGUCUCUGAUCUCUUCACUGGAGCUGGUAUAACUUAAUGUACAAAGCACAUUCAGCUUGUCAGUAUGUCUAUAUGGUAUAGUCUGUCUCCAUUCUCAUGAGGAAAGUAAAUAACAUUAUAAAUCAGGAUGGGUAGUAACUGUGUGUAUAUGCUCAAUUAAAUAAUAUAAUUACAAAGUUAUAACAUUUAUCAACACAAUUUUAACAGUAAAUAACAAGUCUGCUGUUCACUGCAACUAUCAGUAGUUUGUCUCAAAUAUAGCAUGAAGCAAAAAGUGUUACAUCUGCUGGUACUUGUAAGAAAUAUUAUAUAAAUCUUCAAAAAUGAAAUAUGUUUGUAUUCAACUUGUGCCUUGCGCAAAUGUGUGUUACUGUCAAACAUCAGAUGGACAAAAAAAUGUGGGCAGGGUCAAAUGUGAGCAGAGUCAAACGUUUGACUCCACCCACAUUGAACCCAGCCCCGAAUUGCACACUGCAGUCAGGGGUACUUGGACUUGCUUGCUGGUUGAGAUUUCUGCUCUUCACUCCAUUGUCAGUUUAGCCUACAUUUCACUGAUCAUAGGAGCAGAAAUGGUUUUUUAUUUGUGUCCUUCAAGGCAGCUGUCAAUGAUCACGUUAGGCUGUGUUUCAUUUGAUUUGUUAUGGCGGUUUGAUCGCAGAGGAGACACUAGUAAUGUCUGCAGUUUUCGGUUUGUCAUUUUGUUUCAAAUGUAUUAGUCUAAUAAUAAAUCUCUUCGCCAAA
ensembl:lncRNA